rnacentral:rRNA from 1 species
AUUGAACGCUGGCGGCAGGCCUAACACAUGCAAGUCGAGCGGAUGAAGGGAGCUUGCUCCUGGAUUCAGCGGCGGACGGGUGAGUAAUGCCUAGGAAUCUGCCUGGUAGUGGGGGAUAACGUCCGGAAACGGGCGCUAAUACCGCAUACGUCCUGAGGGAGAAAGUGGGGGAUCUUCGGACCUCACGCUAUCAGAUGAGCCUAGGUCGGAUUAGCUAGUUGGUGGGGUAAAGGCCUACCAAGGCGACGAUCCGUAACUGGUCUGAGAGGCUGAUCAGUCACACUGGAACUGAGACACGGUCAAGAGUACUACGGGAGGGAGCAGUGGGGAAUAUUGGGCAAUGGGGGAAAGCAUGAUCCAGCCAUGCCGAGUGUGUGAAGAAGGUGUUCGGAUUGUAAAGACCUUUAAGUUGGGAGGAAGGGCAGUAAGUUAAUACCUUGCUGUUUUGACGUUACCAACAGAAUAAGCACCGGCUAACUUCGUG